rfam:Neolentinus lepideus HHB14362 ss-1 unplaced genomic scaffold NEOLEscaffold_1, whole genome shotgun sequence.
GCCGGGAUAGCUCAGCUGGGAGAGCAACAGACUGAAGUGCCAAUGAUUUCUGGAGGUCCCGUGUUCAAUCCACGGUCCUGGCA